GGUUAAGCGACUAAGCGUACACGGUGGAUGCCCUGGCAGUCAGAGGCGAUGAAGGACGUGCUAAUCUGCGAUAAGCGUCGGUAAGGUGAUAUGAACCGUUAUAACCGGCGAUUUCCGAAUGGGGAAACCCAGUGUGUUUCGACACACUAUCAUUAACUGAAUCCAUAGGUUAAUGAGGCGAACCGGGGGAACUGAAACAUCUAAGUACCCCGAGGAAAAGAAAUCAACCGAGAUUCCCCCAGUAGCGGCGAGCGAACGGGGAGCAGCCCAGAGCCUGAAUCAGUGUGUGUGUUAGUGGAAGCGUCUGGAAAGGCGUGCGAUACAGGGUGACAGCCCCGUACACAAAAAUGCACAUACUGUGAGCUCGAUGAGUAGGGCGGGACACGUGGUAUCCUGUCUGAAUAUGGGGGGACCAUCCUCCAAGGCUAAAUACUCCUGACUGACCGAUAGUGAACCAGUACCGUGAGGGAAAGGCGAAAAGAA
rnacentral:rRNA from 1 species